GUAUCUUGAUGUUAAAAUAAACCAGCCACAGUUCCAGAUAGAAAGUACAAUUGGCAGCAUUUGCUUUCUCAUGAGUUCCUUCUCAAACUCUGGUAGCCCCCACAAACUCCAUUCUUUGUUCUAGGAUGUGAUGUUUUUGUAUUCUUACAGCUUCCACAGGAAAAUAAAGUACUAAAGAUGACAGCUAAGAUGACAGUAAAGUCAAAGGAGUUUCUAAGGAAGGGGAAAAUGAACAUAAAACUGAAAGGCAUCCUACUAUAUAUUUUCAUUUUGUAAACAGCUCUACAAAAAUAGGUAAGAGAAAAGGCAAAAAUGUUCAUGGCUGCAUUUGAUGAAGGGCCUGCAGCACUAUUAAAUGAGAGCGUUAGGUGAAGAGUUCAGAAGAUAAUUUCAUCUCAAAGCAGCACACCACAGAAGCAACAAAG